UACAGAGGUCUCAAGCGUUGUUCGGAUUCAUUGGGCGUAAAGGGUGCGUAGGCGGCGGGGCAAGUCGGAUGUGAAAUCUCAGGGCUCAACCCUGAAACUGCAUUCGAUACUGCCUUGCUCGAGGACUGGAGAGGAGAUUGGAAUUCACGGUGUAGCAGUGAAAUGCGUAGAUAUCGUAAGGAAGACCAGUGGCGAAGGCGGAUCUCUGGACAGUUCCUGACGCUGAGGCACGAAGGUCAGGGGAGCAAACGGG
rnacentral:rRNA from 1 species